UCCGGGCUCGGGGCACGGGGUCGGGUCCCGGGGUCGGGUCCCGGGGCACGGGGGCGGGUCCCGGGGUCGGGUCCCGGGGCACGGGG
rnacentral:tRNA from 1 species